rnacentral:rRNA from 1 species
AAUGGAGGAAACUCUGAUGCAGCGAUGCCGCGUGAGUGAAGAAGGCCCUUGGGUUGUAAAGCUCUUUCGUCGGGGAAGAAAAUGACUGUACCCGAAUAAGAAGGUCCGGCUAACUUCGUGCCAGCAGCCGCGGUAAUACGAAGGGACCUAGCGUAGUUCGGAAUUACUGGGCUUAAAGAGUUCGUAGGUGGUUGAAAAAGUUGGUGGUGAAAUCCCAGAGCUUAACUCUGGAACUGCCAUCAAAACUUUUCUGCUAGAGUAUGAUAGAGGAAAGCAGAAUUUCUAGUGUAGAGGUGAAAUUCGUAGAUAUUAGAAAGAAUACCAAUUGCGAAGGCAGCUUUCUGGAUCAUUACUGACACUGAGGAACGAAAGCAUGGGUAGCGAAGAGGAUU